CAGACGCUGUCAAGGUACCAGUUCGUUUGAAUCGUGAGUACAGACAUUAUAAGACUCAGCUUUUCUGUGUCUUGUGUACUUUCUAUGCUCUUUUUAUCGUGUCGUUUCUAUUCUGUGUAUGUCUUCACUCGUCACCUGUGAGUACGCCUGCAAGUUUCGGAUUUCGGAGGCGUAAAACGCAAAACGCCGAGUGUUGGUGCCCUCCUGGAGAGACAUGAGACAGUAUGUGAGGCAGUGUUUUAGAACCAGCCCCAGUUAUUGCGGAAAGAGAAGGGGAAUCGGUAAACCAUCGGGGACCCAAUUUGUCCGAGCACUCCAAUGUACUCCACUCAGGAUUACUGCCACAUUCACCUACAACGAUCCAGCAUCAUUAUGCUUCGACCAAGGCAACGAUACCAUGCUGCGACCCUGCCGACAUAGGACGGGCCAGCCCCGACCCCACCGCCAAGAGACAGGAGGACGCUCCCGAGCCAGGUCGCCCCCGGAGAGGACGUCCCCCCCCCCCCUCCGCAGCAGCGAUAGGCAGCAACGUGGACGGUCGUCCACGGUGGACGACCAGUUGGCUGGGCUUCCCACAGCCGGUGGGCCGCCCAAGCUCGCCCCCUCCGACCCUUUGAGGACCCCCUCCCUUCCGAGGACUAACGCUGUCCGACCGGCACACCGCAGAUCCACCGUUGCCGCUGACGGAGGAGGAGCGGAGGAUCCUCUGACCGGUGUGCGCGGCGCCGGAGAUCCACAGGACCACACAGCAACGAGGCGCCCUCCACCGCACAAGGAUCGAGGCAGCACGGCCCUCGGGCAUCGAUGUGGCUACGGCAUUGGCCACCCUCAGACGUUUACGUCCGGAACUCCUAAGACAGGACCCUCCACCGCCGCCCGCCCAUCACUUCCCAGCACGCCAAGACGAGGAAGUCGUCAUUGAAAUGCCCGACAUAUCGGACGACGAAGAUCUCUAGAAGACACUGAAUUGAACUUUGGGGUGGGGGAGUGUGGGUGAUAAGCUAUCACCGCCCAGGUAUCACCCGUACUAUCCGUACACGCGAUGGGGGGCGCUGCAACAGUAACUAACGGGCUUUUAAAGCAAGACGAGAGGCUCUCUCGCUAGUUGUGUUUUCAACUGCUGUACGGGCUAGAGGCCACGUCUUCUUCUGUUUGUAAUAAAGCUUUUCGGUUCCUUGUUCA